GAUGAAGAACGUAGCGAAAUGCGAUAAGUAAUGUGAAUUGCAGAAUUCAGUGAAUCAUCGAAUCUUUGAACGCACAUUGCGCCCCCUGGUAUUCCGGGGGGCAUGCCUGUUCGAGCGUCAUUUCACCACUCAAGCCUCGCUUGGUAUUGGGCAACGCGGUCCGCCGCGUGCCUCAAAUCGACCGGCUGGGUCUUCUAUCCCCUAAGCGUUGUGGAAACUAUUCGCUAAAGGGUGUUCGGGAGGCUACGCCGUAAAACAACCCCAUUUCUAAGGUUGACCUCGGAUCAGGUAGGGAUACCCGCUGAACUUAAGCAUAUCAAUAAGCGGAGGA
rnacentral:misc_RNA from 1 species